UCACCCUGGCCUCCGGCCGCGCUCCGAGCUGACUGAGCCUGCGACCGGUUCAAGGGUCUCCUGUAGAACCAACCAUGUGGAAAAACUUAGUGCUGUAUUUCCAUUUUCCACCAGGAGUCUCUCCUUGUUUGGCCUGGCUGGUGCUUGACACAAGGUUUCUGAAGCUCUGCUUCUGCCCACUGAAAGACAAAGAAAGAAGGAAAAAAGAGUUUUCUCUUGGGAUCACUUCCUGACUCUGCAGUGGCUCCUGAACAUCAUCUCAGGGUCUGCUCUUGUGGAACCUGACCCGAGACAGGUAUCCUGUUGACCUUGCAUUUGACUCAGACAGAUCAUACCAGGUUUAUACACUUACUCUUUGCUGAGCACUGGAGAAAGCCUGAGUCUACGAAAAGUGAUGCAUUUGUUGCCUUGCUCUCAAGAUGCCACCUCUUUGAGAAAACCAAACUAAAAAGCCCCGAAAAAUAAGUCACGGAGAAUGAGAUAUGACAAAGCUGGAUGAGACCACGUGUCAGUGACAGACCUAAGUGGUAACACUUGAAGUGAGUGUGAAGAUACAGUGGGAUGAUCCAUAGAAAGCACUCUAUAUGGAGUCAGAUGAGUCCUGAUACACUGAUGUAUGCCAUAAUUCUACACUACAAUCCAUUGCCUGCCAAAAACUCUAAUAUCAUGAGAACUAAUCUGUUGUGCUGGUGAAAUGUUCUUAUCUCAGGUAAAUUGCAUGAAGCUCCCUUGUCAGUUCCAGAUACAAAGUAAUCUGUGAACCAGUGCUCUUUAAAAAAUCUAGUUUCCAGGUGGAUAGCCAGUCAGAUGCUACUUUAGCCUUCAUGUCACCAAGGCUCAAAAUAGAUACUCUUCAGUUCAGAGUUGAUGCUUUUAGAUGUUCUGGUGUCAUUAACAAUGUGGUGAGUUAUUUUUCUUGCUUCUCUGUGGUUAUCUAGCAUUAAUAUCCUAAUUGUCUGAGUCCAAUCUAAGUUUCAGCUAUAAAUUAUUCUCUAGAUAUAUUAUAUGUCAUUUGAAGGCUAUUUAAGGAUCAGCUGAGUAUCAGAUUCUUUAAACAAAACUUGCUCGCAGGGCACCUGGUUGGCUCAGUCAGCCUUUAGCUCAGGUCAUGAUCCUGGGUUCCUGGGUUGAAGCCCUGUGUCAGGCUCUCUGCUGUGUGGGGAGUCUGCUUAUCCAUCUCCCUCUGCUCUUGCCUUGGCCUAUUCUCAUUCUCUCUCUCUAAAAUAAAUAAAUGAAUAAAUAAUCUUUAAACAAGACUUGCUCUUUCAAUAGAUCAAGCAAUGUAUGAGUACAGCUAUUGGAGCAUUUGAAUGCCAAUGGCACUCAACAACUUCAGGUAUAAACUACUAUGUCAAAAUAGAGGCAAAUUUAGUAAAAAUGUAAAAAGUUGUUAGCGGUAGCGGUAGCGGUAGACCUUUGAGGCUAUAUAGAACAAAUAAGAUUUUUCUCAGGUAUUAGAACAGGCAGGGGAAGAAUAAAGCUGUAAUUUGUGACCACAAUUAACAUUAACCAUCUAUAUCUAUGUCAAGGAACUAAGCAUUUUACAUGAUAAUUUUAAUAUAAUAUGUAGGUCUUUUUAAACUACAUAAUCCGUAGUUAUUAAUAAUAACUAAGACAACUGGAAAAUGUGGUUUUCAAUCAAUGCCCAUGUCUCUUAAGCCAUAUUCUUUCCUAAUUAAAGAAUCGAGGAGAGUUCUCAACCUUAGCUGCAUGACAUAUCACCUAGGAAGCUCUUAAAAAUGUUAUUACCCCAGACACUAACCCCAAAAACUAAAUCAUGAACUUUAGAGUGUAGAACCCAGAUGUUAAUAAUAAUAAUUCUGAAACUUCCCAGGUGAUCCCAACAUGCAUCUAAGGUUGAGAAAUUCUGGUCUAGAAUAAAUACAAUUAACAAGUAGUUUCAGGAAAGGCUAAAUUGAUAGAUACUUUUUUCAACUGAAUCAUACCUCAUUCACUAAUACUAAGCUUUGGAAUAACAAUCAAAGCUAGUUAGUAUAACUUUGCAAUACAUAAAUCUGUCAUAUUACAGGUGAUAUCUGCUAUUUUGCUCCAAUUUAAUCUUACUACAAGCUUGUUAAAGGUUAUUAGAAGCUUUGUUUCUUUAGUGUUCCAAGUUUAGCCUUCAGUAUCACUUCAGCAAAGUUUGCACCUGUUUUCUAGAUGAGAAAAGAUGAUUAACCCAGUAAAGGAUUACAAUUAGCUAUAAGAGGGUCAAAGCAAUGAAUAUGAGGAGUAGAAUCUCAGAUCAGCUUUCCUAUAUUGGAAAGCUCUCUUCCUACCACAACUUAUUCAGGGUAAGACUCUAAAUAUCUAGUUUGAACUCCAUUUUCUGAGUACUGAGCCCCAUAAUUAACUGAUUGUCUUAUGUUGGCCAUAGAAUACG